CGUGUAGGCGGCCGAUUAAGUCUGGAGUGAAAGUCCUGCUUUCAAGGUGGGAAUUGCUUUGGAAACUGGUUGGCUUGAGUGCGGAAGAGGUAAGUGGAAUUCCCAGUGUAGCGGUGAAAUGCGUAGAGAUUGGGAGGAACACCAGUGGCGAAGGCGACUUACUGGGCCGUAACUGACGCUGAGGCGCGAAAGCGUGGGGAGCGAACA
rnacentral:rRNA from 1 species